rnacentral:lncRNA from 1 species
GGAUAAGAACGAAUUCAUCUCUCUUAGAGAUCAUCCAUUUCCUUGUAGAUUUCGUUAUAUAUCAGAAGAUAACAUUCAACAAACAUCAAUUACUGCCAAAAAUCAUCAACCAAAUCAUAAAAUCGAUGAAAUAGAAAGAGUUGGCAAUAAUGAACGAAAGCAUUUCAGCCAUCGACAUAACUUGUUAAUGUACUCGUUACGAGCAUCAGAUUUUAUUCACUGCUAUUUUUGCGAGACAAUAAUUUCAGGCAUGGCGUAUGGUUGCAAACGUUGUAAAUACUUUCUACACGAAUUCUGCUCUGAAUUCCCACAACUUAUUGAACAUUUAGCUCACCCUGGCCAUCAAUUAACCCUCAAGUACACUCCUACAGUUGAUAGUGGCUAUAUUUGCAAAGCAUGUCAUGUUGGUGACAAUCCUGCUUUGUUGUUUAACUUUCAUUAUUCUUGUAAUCACUGUGAUUUUGCUAUUCAUAUGGGGUGUGCUUCUAUGCCUUGUAAAGUAUUUCACAAGGAAAAAGGACUUUCCCUUUUAUACUCAAAUCCUUUGAAAAAUGAAGCUGGACCACUCCUUUGUGAUAUUUGUAACCACUCAAUAAACAAGACCAAUUCUUGGGUAUAUUAUGACCAUAGUCAUAAUUUCAUAACCCAUUUUGGUUGUGCUGCUGAUUCUAUAUAUGGAAAAGGGAAAGAUGAUAAAUCUUAUAUUAUGGGUGUGAAAACUGGAUUGACAAAUCUUGAUGGGGAUGAUACU